rnacentral:rRNA from 1 species
CGUAUAAGGGCAUAUGGUGGAUGCCUUGGCAUCAAGUGGCGAUGAAGGACGUGGCGUAGCUGCGAUAAGCCUCGGGGAGGUGCCUAGCAACCUUUGAUCCGGGGAUUUCCGAAUGGGGAAACCCUCUGUGAUAAACUCACAGAACCGUGGCUCACUAUUGUUUAUCACUCAUACGAAAAUACGAAAACCUACGAAUUUACGAAAAACCAAAUUUCGUACAUUUGUAACAUUUCGUACUUUCGUAAGGGAGUGGCGAGCAGUGGCGAGUCACGGAGUAUACCCGCUGAAGUGAAACAUCUCAGUAAGCGGAGGAAAAUAAAAAAAUGUAGAAGCUGAUUAACGCGGAUUUUAAACUGUAGAGGCGGAUUCACGCGGAUUUAAUUCCGCGCCGUUCCGCUUCUAUAAUUAAUUGAAUCUGCGCAUAUCUGCUUCUAUGCAUUCCCUGAGUAGCGGCGAGCGAAACGGGAACAGCCCAAACCUUGUCAGUGUUUCGCACUGACCGCAGAAAAACGUGGAAAGAACGCAGAAUAACGCAGAAGAACCAAAAAUUCUGCGUGUGUCUGCGUAAAGUCUGCGUAAGUCCGCGGCCAACGCGGAGCGUUGGCAGGGGGUAGUAAGAUUAACAUGCUGUUAGCAAUAAUAAGGGAAAGUUAUCAAUCGAUUUAUUAGCAGAAUCCAUUGGAAAGUGGAGCCAAAGAGAGUGAUAGCCUCGUAUGCGAAAACAAAUCGACUUUCUAUUGUUAGUCUUGAGUACCUCGAGGCAAAAAAACUUUGAGGGAAUCUUCCGGUACUAUCCGGAAAGGCUAAAUACACUUGAUGACCGAUAGUGAACUAGUACCGCGAGGGAAAGGUGAAAAGUACCCCGGAAGGGGGAUGAAAUAGAACCUGAAACCAUAUGCUUACAAGGACGCGAAGCUUGUGCUUUGCACAAGGAAAUUCCAAACUCCAAAUUCUAAAUUCCAAACAAUAUUCAAGCUCUAAUUUCAAAAUUCCAAACGGAUUUCCCGUUUUGAAUUUGUUAUUUUGGUCAUUGUGAUUUGUUUGUGAUUUGGCGCUUGUGAUUUGUGAUUUUCUCGCGCAGAGCGCGAGUGACGCGGUGCCUAUUGAAGAAUGAGCCAACGAGUUAUUUUGCAUUGCGCGUCUAAGUCCCAUUAAACGGGAUGCAGGCACAGGGAAACCGAGUUUUAAUAGAGCGCAUCGUUCGCUCCUCACUGCGUUCGUCGCUCACUUUACCAAUUACGAAUACUGACACGAAUUAAGCUAAUGGCUAAUAAUGUUAUUCGCCAUUCGCCUAAUUAGUUUUCAUUUGUAAUUAGUAGGCGAAGCGACGAGCAUAGCGAGGAGUGAACGAAACGCAGUGCGAGAUAGACCCGAAGCCAGAGCGAGCUUACCUUGGCCAGGAUGAACCCGCCUUAAUCGGCGGGGGAGGUCCGAACUGGUGGGUUGUGCAAAACCCUCGGAUGAGCUGAGGUAAGAAGUGAAAAGCUAAUCGAGCCUGGUAAUAGCUGGUUCUCUCCGAAAUAGCUUUCGGGCUAGCGCUCGCUAAAAAUUUUCUAGGGGUAGAGCUACUGGUUGAGGUUGACAGGGCGAAAGCUCGCUUCCUCAGUCAAACUCCGAAUACUAGAAAAUACGGCGAGUAGUUAGACUGUGGGGGCUAAGCUCCAUGGUCGCGAGGGAAAAAGCCCAGAUCGUCGUCUAAGGUCCCUAAAUUUUUGCUAAGUGUAAAAGGCAGUCAUUAACCACAGACAGGCAGGAGGUUGGCUUAGAGGUAGCCAUCCUUUAAAGAGUGUGUAACAACUCACUGCUCGAAUCGUUCGCUCCUCACUGCGUUCGUCACUCACUUUACCAAUUACGAAUACUGACACGAAUUAAGCCAAUGGCUAAUAACGUUAUUCGCCAUUCGCCUAAUUAGUUUUCAUUUGUAAUUAGUAGGUGAAGAGACGAGCAUGGCGAGGAGCGAGCGAUGGUUAGUGGCGCCGAAAAUGUACCGGGGCUAAGCAAGAUACCGAAGACACGAAUCGUUCGCUCCUCACUGCGUUCGUCACUCACUUUACCAAUUACGAAUACUGACACGAAUUAAGCCAAUGGCUAAUAACGUUACUCGCCAUUCGCCUAAUUAGUUUUCAUUUGUAAUUAGUAGGUGAAGAGACGAGCAUGGCGAGGAGCGAGCGGUGGUAGGAGAGCAUCCCAAACUGCGUUGAAGGUUACGACGCGAGUCGGACUGGAGUGUUUGGGAGGGAGAAUGUUGGCAUGAGUAACCGCAAAUUUAGUGAGAAACUAGAUCCCCGAAAAUCCAAGGUUUCCGUGGCAAUGGCAAUCAACCACGGGUUAGGCGAUCCUAAGGCAAUGGCGAGAGCCGCAGCCGAUGGACAGCCGGUUAAUAUUCCGGCCCUUCUGAAACAUUCGAUGGGGUGACGGAGGAAAUAAGAUUGAGCGCCUUAGUGGUUUGGCGUCGUCGGUCAUCAGAAAUGAUGCUCAGGAAAAUCCGGGCGUCUGCUUUUAAUGGCAAAUUUCGCGGACCGCCGUAAGGUUAAGUUUUUACUUAACUAAUUCAAUCGAAGAGCCUUCCGAGAAAAACCUCUAAGGUUAGUGUUUUAGAAAUCGUACCGUAAACCGACACAGGUGGGUGAGGCGAGAAGCCUCAGGGGAACGAGUGAUUCUUCGUUAAGGAACUCGGCAAAAAAGCGGCCGUAAGUUCGCGAUAAGGCCUGCCCAACCAAUGCUUCGCAUUGGGAAUUCCAAAUUACAAAUCCCAAAUCACAAACAAAUUUGAAAUUCCAAUUUUCAAAUUCAAAACGUUUUGAAUUUAGAAUUUUGGUUAUUAGAUAUUGUUUGUAAUUUGGCGCUUGGGAUUUGGUGCUUCCACUGCGGAGCAGUGGUUUGGGCUGCAACAAAAGUAUCUCUGGCGACUGUUUACCAAAAACACAGCUCCCUGCUAACUCGCAAGAGGAUGUAUAGGGGGUGACGCC